UAUGGUUUACCCCCUGCUAAAGUAAGUGACUGUGUGACGAGUUUCUCAUUAGUAAUCAUGUUCUUGCAAGUUUAUCUCUAGUCUAUGCCUUGAUAGAUUUUGUCCCUUGAUUUAAUUCCAUAUUCUUGAGAUCCCUUGAGCAAAAUUAUAAAUAACGAUACCUGGAAUACUAAUCCUGGUGAAAUGCUACAAUGAGGUGUUUUAUCUGUGCGC
rnacentral:lncRNA from 1 species